rnacentral:tRNA from 2 species
GGAGGAGUGGCUGAGUGGUCGAAAGCGGCGGUCUUGAAAACCGUUGUACCGCAAGGUACCGUGGGUUCGAAUCCUACCUCCUCCG